rnacentral:rRNA from 1 species
GGGUUGUGAGGUUAAGCGACUAAGCGUACACGGUGGAUGCCCUGGCAGUCAGAGGCGAUGAAGGGCGUGCUAAUCUGCGAUAAGCGCCGGUAAGGUGAUAUGAACCGUUAUAACCGGCGAUACCCGAAUGGGGAAACCCAGUGUGACUCGUCACACUAUCAUUAACUGAAUCCAUAGGUUAAUGAGGCGAACCGGGGGAACUGAAACAUCUAAGUACCCCGAGGAAAAUAAAUCAACCGAGAUUCCCCCAGUAGCGGCGAGCGAACGGGGAGGAGCCCAGAGCCUGAAUCAGCAUGUGUGUUAGUGGAAGCGUCUGGAAAGGCGCGCGAUACAGGGUGACAGCCCCGUACACAAAAGCGCAUGUGCUGUGAGCUCGAUGAGUAGGGCGGGACACGUGGUAUCCUGUCUGAAUAUGGGGGGACCAUCCUCCAAGGCUAAAUACUCCUGACUGACCGAUAGUGAACCAGUACCGUGAGGGAAAGGCGAAAAGAACCCCGGCGAGGGGAGUGAAACAGAACCUGAAACCGUGUACGUACAAGCAGUGGGAGCCCCACCACUAAGCCAGUGGUGAGUUCCAUGAUGCAUCCUUUGCUGAAGGUGCGGUUGGCGGAGCGUUUUUUGCGACGCCCAACACACAAAACAAGCAGAGGGGGCUUAGUGGUGGGGUGACUGCGUACCUUUUGUAUAAUGGGUCAGCGACUUAUAUUCUGUAGCAAGGUUAACCGCAUAGGGGAGCCGGAGGGAAACCGAGUCUUAAC